UACGGGGGGAGCAAGCGUUGUUCGGAUUUACUGGGCAUAAAGGGCGGGUAGGCGGCCACCGCAAGUCAGUUGUGAAAUCUCUGGGCUUAACCCAGAAAGGUCAACUGAUACUGCGGGGCUAGAGUGCAGAAGGGGCAACUGGAAUUCUCGGUGUAGCGGUGAAAUGCGUAGAUAUCGAGAGGAACACCUGCGGCGAAGGCGGGUUGCUGGGCUGACACUGACGCUGAACUGCGAAAGCUAGGGGAGCGAACGGG
rnacentral:rRNA from 1 species